UACCUGCGGAGGGAUCAUUACCGAGUUUACAACUCCCAAACCCCUGUGAACAUACCACUUGUUGCCUCGGCGGAUCAGCCCGCUCCCGGUAAAACGGGACGGCCCGCCAGAGGACCCCUAAACUCUGUUUCUAUAUGUAACUUCUGAGUAAAACCAUAAAUAAAUCAAAACUUUCAACAACGGAUCUCUUGGUUCUGGCAUCGAUGAAGAACGCAGCAAAAUGCGAUAAGUAAUGUGAAUUGCAGAAUUCAGUGAAUCAUCGAAUCUUUGAACGCACAUUGCGCCCGCCAGUAUUCUGGCGGGCAUGCCUGUUCGAGCGUCAUUUCAACCCUCAAGCACAGCUUGGUGUUGGGACUCGCGUUAAUUCGCGUUCCCCAAAUUGAUUGGCGGUCACGUCGAGCUUCCAUAGCGUAGUAGUAAAACCCUCGUUACUGGUAAUCGUCGCGGCCACGCCGUUAAACCCCAACUUCUGAAUGUGACC
rnacentral:rRNA from 1 species